GAUGAACGCUGGCGGCGUGCCUAAUACAUGCAAGUCGAGCGAACGGACGAGAAGCUUGCUUCUCUGUUGUUAGCGGCGGACGGGUGAGUAACACGUGGAUAACCUACCUAUAAGACUGGGAUAACUUCGGGAAACCGGAGCUAAUACCGGAUAAUAUUUUGAACCGCAUGGUUCAAAAGUGAAAGACGGUCUUGCUGUCACUUAUAGAUGGAUCCGCGCUGCAUUAGCUAGUUGGUAAGGUAACGGCUUACCAAGGCAACGAUGCAUAGCCGACCUGAGAGGGUGAUCGGCCACACUGGAACUGAGACACGGUCCAGACUCCUACGGGAGGCAGCAGUAGGGAAUCUUCCGCAAUGGGCGAAAGCCUGACGGAGCAACGCCGCGUGAGUGAUGAAGGUCUUCGGAUCGUAAAACUCUGUUAUUAGGGAAGAACAUAUGUGUAAGUAACUGUGCACAUCUUGACGGUACCUAAUCAGAAAGCCACGGCUAACUACGUG
rnacentral:rRNA from 1 species